rnacentral:rRNA from 1 species
AGUGAACGCUGGCGGCAGGCCUAAUACAUGCAAGUCGAACGGCAGCACAGCAGAGCUUGCUCUGUGGGUGGCGAGCGGCGGACGGGUGAGGAAUACAUGGGAAUCUGCCCAGUCGUGGGGGAUAACGUAGGGAAACUUACGCUAAUACCGCAUGCGCCCUUCGGGGGAAAGCCGGGGACCUUCGGGCCUGGCGCGAUUGGAUGAGCCCAUGUCGGAUUAGCUAGUUGGCGGGGUAAAGGCCCACCAAGGCGACGAUUCGUAGCUGGUCUGAAGGGAUGAUCAGCCACACUGGACCUGAGACACGGUCCAGACUCCUACGGGAGGCAGCAGUAGGGAAUAUUGGACAAUGGGCGCAAGCCUGAUCCAGCCAUGCCGCGUGAGUGAAGAAGGCCUUCGGGUUGUAAAGCUCUUUUGUCCGGAAAGAAAAGCAUCCAGUUAAUACCUGGUGUCCUGACGGUACCGGAAGAAUAAGCACCGGCUAACUUCGUGCCAGCCGCCGCAGUAACAC